rnacentral:rRNA from 1 species
UACAGAGGGGGCGAGCGUUAUUCGGAAUUAUUGGGCGUAAAGGGCGCGUAGGCGGCCUGGUGUGUCUACGGUGAAAUCCCUCGGCUUAACCGAGGAACUGCCGUGGAAACUGCCGGGCUCGAGGCCGGGAGAGGGUAGUGGAAUUCCCAGUGUAGCGGUGAAAUGCGUAGAUAUUGGGAGGAACACCGGUGGCGAAGGCGGCUACCUGGACCGGUUCUGACGCUGAGGCGCGAAAGCGUGGGGAGCAAACAGG